UCUCCGUAGGUGAACCUGCGGAGGGAUCAUUACUGAGUGAGGGUUUAACCGCCCGACCUCCAACCCUUUGUGAAUCGUACUCGUUGCUUCGGGGGCGACCCUGCCGUUCGCGGCGUGGGGCCCCCGGCGGACCCCAGCCCACUCUUGCGUCCCGACGUCGGUUCAAUUGAUGAAUAUCAAAAAACUUUCAGCAACGGAUCUCUUGGUUCUGGCAUCGAUGAAGAACGCAGC
rnacentral:misc_RNA from 1 species